AUUUUGGUUUCCCAAUAUGUAUUGAGAAAGGCACUUUUGUAGGAUUUGUUUAAUGUCCUUCCAUUUAUCCUCUGUGUUUUGUUAGUGUAUAGUUUCUGGAUCAGUUUGGUUGUAAAGAUGCCCUUAGUCCAUUUAAAUGUUUCUUAAAGACAUAUACAUUUUUAUUAUUUUAAGUGAUCAUACGUAUUUGGGUCACUAUUUCCCACGUACCCCAUAACUUGAGUGUUCCAAAAUAGGUCAAUAUUAUUCGUUCUGACAAAGAUCCAGACAAGCAUCGAUUCUAGUUUGUGCUACAAAUGAUUGUGACACGAAGGGGUUACUCAAGAGGUGCUAAACAAUUUCUCUUAAACUUUACAACUCGUCCUUGAUUUCAGGUAUAGGAAUACCACUGGUACUGUUCCCUUCUCAGAUAAGAAAAUCACAUAUAGGUUUUUAAAGUUGAUGGCAGUUGCCAUUAAGAAGCAAGAGUGGCAUUAUCCCUGGUGAGUUCAUAUAGGCAGGUCAGACUAAUUAUCCAAGUGGCUAGAAAUCAAGCACCUACAGUCUCAGAUACCAAAUACUGGUCAGCACAGUCUGCUCCAUUAGCCUGAGUCGUAAGCUUAAGAAUAGCAGUAUGCCAAA